GGUUUGGAGAAGUGCGGAAUAGGGGAAGUGCAGUUGAGGGAAGGCUUGAAGAAGGGUGGUGGGAGAAAGGGUCUACGGAGGAUGUGAGGCCCGAGGCCCGCAUGGGUGGGACCGAUUAACAGGGUCGCCCGUAAAACCUAGAUAGGGGGUGGCAGGAAUAGGUCCCCGAGGUCUGAAGGAACCCCACGAAGGAGAGAUCUGGGAUCCUCCGGCGCGCGGCUGCCCCCUACCGGGCUUCGCGCUUGGAAGCUGAGUCCGAGAGGAGCGCGACCCAGAGGAGCGUGGCCAAGCAGGGAAAAGGGAGGUAGCGCGACCCGCGAAAAACCGCGAUUUGGCGGCAAGAAACAGAGCAAUCUCUCGCUAACGGACCUCGAAGAGUAACUCAGAUGAAGAAUCAAAGUUAUUUCAUCCAAUGAUCAGUAUCCUAAUGAAGACGAUGAAGUGAAUGUGCUGGCUGCUUAGCUUGCUUCCUCCCACUAGAGGCUUCACCGCGACACCCCUCCUCCUACAUAGUACUCAUUCAUUAAACGUAUUUGUGAAUUUGGUUCCACUGAUUUAAA